rnacentral:misc_RNA from 1 species
CAACAGGGAUUGCCCCAGUAACGGCGAGUGAAGCGGCAACAGCUCAAAUUUGAAAUCUGGCUCUCGGGCCCGAGUUGUAAUUUGUAGAGGAUGCUUUUGGUGAGGUGCCUUCCGAGUUCCCUGGAACGGGACGCCAUAGAGGGUGAGAGCCCCGUCUGGUUGGACGCCGAUCCUCUGUAAAGCUCCUUCGACGAGUCGAGUAGUUUGGGAAUGCUGCUCUAAAUGGGAGGUAUAUGUCUUCUAAAGCUAAAUACCGGCCAGAGACCGAUAGCGCACAAGUAGAGUGAUCGAAAGAUGAAAAGAACUUUGAAAAGAGAGUUAAACAGUACGUGAAAUUGUUGAAAGGGAAGCGCUUGUGACCAGACUUGGGCUUGGUUGAUCAUCCGGGGUUCUCCCCGGUGCACUCUUCCGGCCCAGGCCAGCAUCAGUUCGCCCUGGGGGACAAAGGCAUCGGGAACGUGGCUCUCUCCGGGGAGUGUUA